CACAAUACCAAGACUGACCCCACUAAUACCACAAUACCAGGACUGCCCCUUCAUACCACAAUACCAAGACUGUCCCCACUAAUACCACAAUACCAAGACUGUCCCCACUAAUACCACAAUACCAAGACUGUCCCCACUAAUACCACAAUACCAAGACUGACCCCACUAAUACCACAAUACCAGGACUGCCCCCACUAAUACCACAAUACCAGGACUGCCCCCACUAAUACCACAAUACCAG